GACUGAGCGGCGGACGGGUGAGUAACGCGUGGGUAACCUGCCUCAUACAGGGGGAUAACAGUUGGAAACGGCUGCUAAUACCGCAUAAGCGCACAGUACCGCAUGGUACGGUGUGAAAAACUCCGGUGGUAUGAGAUGGACCCGCGUCUGAUUAGGUAGUUGGUGGGGUAACGGCCUACCAAGCCGACGAUCAGUAGCCGACCUGAGAGGGUGACCGGCCACAUUGGGACUGAGACACGGCCCAAACUCCUACGGGAGGCAGCAGUGGGGAAUAUUGCACAAUGGGGGAAACCCUGAUGCAGCGACGCCGCGUGAGCGAUGAAGUAUUUCGGUAUGUAAAGCUCUAUCAGCAGGGAAGAAAAUGACGGUACCUGACUAAGAAGCCCCGGCUAACUACGUGCCAGCAGCCGCGGUAAUACGUAGGGGGCAAGCGUUAUCCGGAUUUACUGGGUGUAAAGGGAGCGUAGACGGCAUGGCAAGCCAGAUGUGAAAGCCCGGGGCUCAACCCCGGGACUGCAUUUGGAACUGUCAGGCUAGAGUGUCGGAGAGGAAAGCGGAAUUCCUAGUGUAGCGGUGAAAUGCGUAGAUAUUAGGAGGAACACCAGUGGCGAAGGCGGCUUUCUGGACGAUGACUGACGU
rnacentral:rRNA from 1 species